AACGAACGCUGGCGGUAUGCUUAACACAUGCAAGUCGAACGAAUGCCUUUGGAGCUUGCUCCAAAGUCGUUAGUGGCAAACGGGUGAGUAACACGUGGGAAUCUACCUAUCAGUACGGAAUAACAUUUGGAAACAGAUGCUAAUACCGUAUAUUCUCUUCGGAGGAAAGAUUUAUCGCUGAUAGAUGAGCCCGCGUAAGAUUAGGUAGUUGGUGGGGUAAUGGCCUACCAAGCCGACGAUCUUUAGUCUGAUCUGAGAGGAUGAUCAGCCACACUGGGACUGAGACACGGCCCAGACUCCUACGGGAGGCAGCAGUGGGGAAUAUUGGACAAUGGGCGAAAGCCUGAUCCAGCAAUACCGCGUGAAUGAUGAAGGCCUUAGGGUUGUAAAGUUCUUUUAGUAGGGAAGAUAAUGACGGUACCUACAG
rnacentral:rRNA from 1 species